ensembl:lncRNA
AUGCCGUCCGGGGCCCAGACUUUUCUUGUCUGGAGGCCUGUGUUUUUGGGUGGAUAAUUGUCUUAGUUUUUCCUAAUGUUUUUUACAUUCUGAGUCAAACUAUUUUUCUUGCAUUUUCUUUUUUUUUAGGGGGGGGUAGGUUUGGUUUUUGGAAAGGUAAGUUUGAUUGUUGUGCCACAAGAUGUGCUUUGUGGCUAUGUUUACUCCUUCUUUACUGCUGUUCUUGAGUUUCAUGGCUACUCAUUGCUUCCUGAUAUUCAGGUAUUCUGCUUUGCGCCCAUCUUUAUUGAGUUGUUAUGUUAUAUAAAUUACUGGAGUUAGAACAUGGUUGGUUAGAGUGGAGUCUUUUUAGGUAUAUUCUGAGCUGGUUAUGGUCUGAAAAAGGGUGUUGUUGCCUGACUGUGACUGCUCUGAGCGAGAAAGGGUCCAAAUAUGUUAAUGCGUAAUCUGCUGUGCUACUGCCCCGAGAGGAGCUGUAGGUGUAGCGGCCAAAGGAGCCCCCUCUUAGGCAACUAUUGACUAUGUACAGACAGUGGGACCAACAGAGCUGCAGUAGUUCUUUCCCCUUUCUAUUUGUUAAUUUUAUCAUAGUUAUUCCUUAAUGGAAGAGUAAGACUGGUGUGAGUUUUGUUAUUCAUGUAUUUGUCUCUGUUUGUGCUAGUAGUGUGUGCUUCUUCAGCUGUGUGUGCAUACAGAUCACCUACAAUUAGGAUGUUUCCCUGGGUUUGGAAGUGGGUGAUUCAAUUGGAGGGAUGUAGAUUGUCCAUAGGAAUAUGUUUUGGGUAUUGGAGCUCAGGUCUUUUUUUUUUAACUUUUUUUUUUUUACUUAAGCCAUAUAUAAUUUUCACCUUCUCUAACAAGUUCAAUAUAAUUUGUAUAUUUAGCUUUAAACCAGAUAAGGAUUCCAUCCCUGAGGUCGUUCCCUGUGUCACUCCAGGGCAGCCAUUUGGUGUAAGUGUCCCUCUCUCCCCCUCCCCCUCCCCUUGAACUCAUUAAAUAACUCGUUACUUUUUAGUCCAAAGGCUGAUGAUCUUAACCCUUGGACGUUCCCUUGGCUAAUUACAAAGGAUUCGUAUUGUUUCAUGCUGCAAUAUGAGUUAUUGAAUUUGUUGUUGUUUUUUAUACAGAGUGGAGUGCAUUUCUUUGAUUCUCGCUCUUCUGUAUAUCUCUCUCUCUCUCUCUGCAUCUCUCUCUCUCUCUCUCUCUCUCUGCAUUUCAAUUAAAUGUCAUUGUUUUUAUUGGAAUGACUGUACAAUACAACAUUACCCAAGCACUUAAGCAGUAACAACAAUAAUGAUAGUAAUACAGGGAAAAAUGUAAUAAUAAUAAUUAAGUAAAUAUAAUUAAGUAAACUUAAAUUCCAUAAGUUAUACAUAUAGCAGAUACAAGUAAUGGACAGUUAGAAAAAGGGAAAACCCGUAGUUAAUGUAAUUUUCUUUAUUCCUUUCUUUUAGCUGUUUCAGUUUUGAAGCAAUGGUUGAAUCUUUUUUUAAAUUUUUUUUUAGUUGAGCCCCUGUUUUUUUAAUAGAUAGUUUAAAGGCUCUCUCUCGAGGUGUCCACCCCCUCUGCUCAAACUUCACUACCAUAACAUAGUAUUGGUUUCAGUUGCAAGACCGCGCUAUCCCAGGGCAGGUAUGGAUGGCGGCACGAUCAGGUGCUGAGGAAACUGGCAGAGGUAGUGGAGAGGAAAAGGCAAGAGGCAAGCGCUGGGAGGCAGCCGGGGAGCCAGCAGAGGACCCAUUUCAUUAGGGAAGGGGAAAAGGGGGACACUGUCAGAAGGAGACCAGCAUCCACCCUUUUGUUGCCAGGAGUGGAAUGGAGAAUGGAGGUGGACUUGGGCAGGCAGCUCCACUUCUCAGGGGAGAUCUGCAGCACCACACUGAGGCCAGAUGUGGUGCUGUGGGCCAGGACGGAGAGAUCUGCGCUGCUUGUGGAGCUGACGGUGCCAUGGGAGGAGGGGAUGGAGGGAGCCCACGAAAGGAAGAGGGCAAAGUACUCUGACCUGGUUGCGGAGUGCAGGGAGAGCGGUUGGAGUACACGACUCUUUCCAGUGGAGGUUGGCACGAGGGGGUUUGUGGGAAGCUCAAUGACUCGCUUACUUAAAGAGCUAGGGCUAAGGGGCAAGGAGCUACACAAAGCCACCAGAGAGCUGUCUGAGGAAGCAGAGAAGGCAAGUUUUUGGCUUUGGUUAAGGAGGCGGGACAAGGCAUGGGGAGCGAGC